AGCGACCCCCGAAGUCGGCAAGUGGCCCAGAUCCCUAUGGUAGGAAGCAGUAACGAAGAAAUCAAUGGCGCGUGUAAUUAGAUGAUCUCUUUUAUGCGGGAUGAUGCUGAUUCUUCAUUUGUCUGCACCGCUUCUGUCGUGCACGUAAGCUUUCCGAGAAGGAACAUCGCGCAGCAUAUCUCUUGCUCGAAUCUUCGAAGUUGACGGUGGAAGUUUGGGCUGUCGACCACAGGGUAUCCAUCCUUUCCUGGAUCGGGCAUUGAAUUAGGGUUUCUGAGGAUGUUCAUCACUUCGUUCGUUGCAGAUAGUGUUUUCUCCGGAACUGCUCUCCCGGCAGCGAGUUGAAGAUUGCGCUUGGGUAAGAACUGAGAAUAAUCCGAAAUUGUAACUAAGCUUCGGUGAGAGUGAGAGGGCUUCAAGGAAUUUUCCGUGGGGGUUGAGCAGGAUUCAACUGGAACUGCUUUCAGCAUUUGCAACAGAAGGCAAGGAUUAUUGCAACGCCGCGAAGCGCGAGCUCGAGAAGAGAAGGCGAUACGAAUCAACCUGUGAAGGACACGAUGAGACGAGAGCAGCGCCGAAGCUUGAGGAGGAGGAAGGGAUUUCGCUGCACGAGAUGGCGCAACGCUUUGCUGCAGCGCAGAUUAGGGUUUCGUCAAAUUAGGGUUUUUUCUGCAGACAGACAAGACAAGCAAGCUGGCUGCCCAUCUUCUUCAUUGAACCACUACUAUGCAUAAAUCAAUGUUUAAAAUAAACAAAUAAAUAAAUAAAACGUAAACAAAUGCAAUGUGUUGGUAAGAAAGAGUUUGGAGGCAAUUUUAUGAAUAC